CCUUUUUAUUGUAUACAGGUGCUCAGCUGAUUGGAUGAUACCUGCUCCCAUUGGGAUCUCACUAUGUUACUUGGGCUGGUCUCGAACUCCUGGCUUCAAGUGAUCCUCCCAUCUCAAUCUCCCAAAGUGCUGUGACUACAGGUGUGAGUCACUGUGCCACGCCCAACCUGAAACCUUGACUGCAACUCACCUCAGAGACUGCGACACACUGGCUAUGCCCCAAGUCAUAUGUGGAGAGGGCAGCUUUUCUCAUCCAGCUUGCCAGGCUCUACUAAAUUGAACAUAGACAGAAGGAAAAGAAAGGCAUGUUCUGGGAGCUCAGAGUUUUUUGUUACACAUGUCUCGAAGGGUACUAAUACAUCUCCAGUAGCUGUGAUUAUGCCAUGAAAUGUCUCUAAUAAAAAUUACUUUUUGAAAUAA
rnacentral:lncRNA from 1 species